CGCCGCUGAGUGGCCUGAAUCGAGGGUCCAGACUUCGUUGUCGUCCUCUGCCUUUCGACCGCCCUCUCAGCUCUCGCGACCGUCACCCCUGCCCUCUUGCCCGGCCCUGCGCAACAUGCAGCCCGCGGACCUACAAGUUUCCCGCGCUUUCAGCCUGCGAACUCUGUUGCUGCUCCAGCUGCUGCUGCCGCCCCCGGUAACCCGCGCCCAGACCACGCCGGGCGCCCCCAGUUCCCCGACAGCGCCAGACGCCCCCAGCGCCCUCACCACGCCGGGCACCGCCAGUGCCCUGAGCCUGCGAGAGCGCGCGCGGGCCCUGAUGAGGGACUUCCCGCUCGUGGAUGGCCACAAUGACCUGCCCCUGGUCCUGAGGCAGUUUUACCGGAAGGGGCUACAGGAUGUUAACCUGCGCAAUUUCAGCCAUGGCCAGACCAGCCUGGACAGGCUUAGAGAUGGCCUCGUGGGCGCCCAGUUCUGGUCGGCCUACGUCCCAUGCCACACUCAGGACCAGGAUGCCCUGCGCCUCACCCUGGAGCAGAUUGACCUCAUUCGCCGCAUGUGUGCCUCCUACUCUGAACUGGAGCUUGUGACCUCGGCUGAAGCUCUGAACAACAGCCAGAAAUUGGCCUGCCUCAUUGGUGUGGAGGGUGGCCACUCACUAGACAGCAGCCUCUCCAUCUUGCGUACCUUCUAUGUACUGGGAGUGCGCUACCUGACGCUCACCCACACCUGCAACACACCCUGGGCAGAGAGCUCGGCUAAGGGUACCCACUCCUUCUACAACAAUGUCAGCGGGCUGACCAGUUUUGGUGAGAAGGUGGUGGCAGAAAUGAACCGCCUGGGCAUGAUGGUAGACUUGUCCCAUGUUUCGGACAUGGUUGCACGGCGGGUCCUGGAAGUUUCACAGGCACCUGUGAUCUUCUCCCACUCAGCUGCUCGGGGUGUGUGCAAUAAUGAUAGGAACGUUCCUGAUGACAUCCUUCAGCUUCUGGUUCCCUCAGGGGCUGGAGGAUGUGUCCACAUACCCCGUACUGAUAGAGGAGUUGCUGAGUCGUGGCUGGAGUGAGGAAGAGCUUCAGGGUGUCCUUCGUGGAAAUCUGCUGCGGGUCUUUGGACAAGUGGAACAGGUACGGGAGGAAAACAAGCAGCAAAGCCCCUUGGAGGACAGCCUCCCGGAUGAGCAGCUGAGCAGCCCCUGCCGCUCCAUCCUCUC